rnacentral:rRNA from 1 species
UGGUGCCUACGGGACGCAGCAGUAGGGAAUCUUCCACAAUGGACGAAAGUCUGAUGGAGCAACGCCGCGUGAGUGAAGAAGGGUUUCGGCUCGUAAAGCUCUGUUGGUAGUGAAGAAAGAGAGAGGUAGUAACUGGCCCUUAUUUGACGGUAAUUACUUAGAAAGUCACGGCUAACUACGUGCCAGCAGCCGCGGGAAUACGUAGGUGGCAAGCGUUUUCCGGAUUUUUUGGGCGGAAAGCGAGUGCAGGCG